rnacentral:rRNA from 1 species
GGGGAAUAUUGCACAAUGGGGGAAACCCUGAUGCAGCGACGCCGCGUGGAGGAAGAAGGUCUUCGGAUUGUAAACUCCUGUUGUUGAGGAAGAUGAUGACGGUACUCAACAAGGAAGUGACGGCUAACUACGUGCCAGCAGCCGCGGUAAAACGUAGGUCACAAGCGUUGUCCGGAAUUACUGGGUGUAAAGGGAGCGCAGGCGGGAAGACAAGUUGGAAGUGAAAUCUAUGGGCUCAACCCAUAAACUGCUUUCAAAACUGCUGGCCUUGAGUAGUGCAGAGGUAGGUGGAAUUCCCGGUGUAGCGGUGGAAUGCGUAGAUAUCGGGAGGAACACCAGUGGCGAAGGCGACCUACUGGGCACCAACUGACGCUGAGGCUCGAAAGCAUGGGUAGCAAACAGGAUUAGAUACCCUGGUAGUCCAUGCCGUAAACGAUGAUUACUAGGUGUUGGGGGAUUGACCCCCUCAGUGCCGCAGUUAACACAAUAAGUAAUCCACCUGGGGAGUACGACCGCAAGGUUGAAACUCAAAGGAAUUGACGGGGGCCCGCACAAGCAGUGGAGUAUGUGGUUUAAUUCGAAGCAACGCGAAGAACCUUACCAGGUCUUGACAUCCGAUGCAUAGCACAGAGAUGUGUGAAAUCCUUCGGGACAUCGAGACAGGUGGUGCAUGGUUGUCGUCAGCUCGUGUCGUGAGAUGUUGGGUUAAGUCCCGCAACGAGCGCAACCCUUAUUGCCAGUUACUACGUUAAGAGGACUCUGGCGAGACUGCCGUUGACAAAACGGAGGAAGGUGGGGAUGACGUCAAAUCAUCAUGCCCUUUAUGACCUGGGCUACACACGUACUACAAUGGCGUUAAACAAAGAGAAGCAAGACCGCGAGGUGGAGCAAAACUCAAAAACAACGUCUCAGUUCAGAUUGCAGGCUGCAACUCGCCUGCAUGAAGUCGGAAUUGCUAGUAAUCGCGGAUCAGCAUGCCGCGGUGAAUACGUUCCCG